AGCUCCGAAUGCUAUAAAAUGUUUCUCAGCAGUGAGGGCAUGGGUGCUAAGGUCCAUGUCCGAGAGGGAAAGAACCCAGACCAUCCGCUAAGGUCCCUAAAUUCGGACUAAGUUGAACAAAGGAGGUCCAGUUGCUUUGACAGCCAGGAGGUUGGCUUGGAAGCAGCCAUUCCUUUAAAGAGUGCGUAACAGCUCACUGGUCGAGCGAGAGGGCAUCGAUAAUACGCGGGCAUCAAGUCCGGUACCGAAGCGAUGGAUUUAGUCGUAUGACUAAGUGGUAGGGGAGCAUUCUAGUCAGCGGUGAAGGUGACCUGUCAGGGUUGCUGGAGCGGCGAGAAAAGCAAAUGUAGGCAUGAGUAACGAUAAGGCGGGUGAGAAACCCGCCCCCCGAUAGACUAAGGUUUCCUGCUCAACGCUAAUCGGAGCAGGGUUAGUCGGGACCUAAGGCUACGCCGAGAGGCUACGUCGAUGGACAGCUGGUUGAUAUUCCAGCACUUAUUCUUUGGAGUGAUGCAGUGACACAGUAGUGAAAGUACCGCGAGCGGACGGAAGUGCUCGUUAAAGGGCGUAGGUAUAGAUAGGGUAGUUAAGUACGCCUUGUUUGCUGAAACCUGAUAGUACCUGGCGGCUUCGGCCAACGGGAUAGUGUACCUAAUCAGACUGUCAAGAAAACCUGCUAAGCGUUUACUGAAGAAUAACCCGUACCGCAAACCGACACAGGUAGUCAAGGAGAGUAUCCUGAGGGGCUCGAGUGAAUCACCGCUAAGGAACUCGGCAAAAUGGUCCUGUAACUUCGGGAGAAGGGACGCUUCCUCCAGUGAUGGAGAAGCCGCAGUGAAAAGGCCCAGGCGACUGUUUAACAAAAACACAUGACUUUGCGAACGCGCAAGCGGAAGUAUAAGGUCUGACACCUGCCCGGUGCCGGAAGGUUAAGAGGG
rnacentral:rRNA from 11 species